rnacentral:rRNA from 1 species
AUUGAACGCUGGCGGCAGGCCUAACACAUGCAAGUCGAGCGGGGACUUCGGUCCUAGCGGCGAACGGGUGAGUAAUGCUUGGGAAUCUGCCCAGUAGUGGGGGAUAACGUCCCGAAAGGGACGCUAAUACCGCAUACGUCCUACGGGAGAAAGAGGGGGAUCUUCGGACCUCUCGCUAUUGGAUGAGCCCAAGUCGGAUUAGCUAGUUGGUAGGGUAAUGGCCUACCAAGGCGACGAUCCGUAGCUGGUCUGAGAGGAUGAUCAGCCACACUGGAACUGAGACACGGUCCAGACGCCUACGGGAGGCAGCAGUGGGGAAUAUUGGACAAUGGGCGAAAGCCUGAUCCAGCCAUGCCGCGUGUGUGAAGAAGGCCGUCGGGUUGUAAAGCACUUUAAGCGGGGAAGAAGGUUCGCGGCCUAAGACGUCGCGGAAUUGACGUUACCCGCAGAAUAAGCACCGGCUAACUCU